rnacentral:rRNA from 1 species
AACGAACGCUGGCGGCAGGCUUAACACAUGCAAGUCGAACGCCCCGCAAGGGGAGUGGCAGACGGGUGAGUAACGCGUGGGAAUCUACCGUACCCUACGGAACAACAGUUGGAAACGACUGCUAAUACCGUAUACGCCCUACGGGGGAAAGAUUUAUCGGGGUAUGAUGAGCCCGCGUUGGAUUAGCUAGUUGGUGGGGUAAAGGCCUACCAAGGCGACGAUCCAUAGCUGGUCUGAGAGGAUGAUCAGCCACAUUGGGACUGAGACACGGCCCCAACUCCUACGGGAGGCAGCAGUGGGAAUAUUGGACAAUGGGCGCAAGCCUGAUCCAGCCAUGCCGCGUGAGUGAUGAAGGUCUUAGGAUUGUAAAGCUCUUUCACCGAUGAAGAUAAUGACGGUAGUCGGAGAAGAAGCCCCGGCUAACUUCGUGCCAGCCGCCGCGGUAA